rnacentral:rRNA from 1 species
CGCGGCCUAUCAGCUUGUUGGUGAGGUAAUGGCUCACCAAGGCGACGACGGGUAGCCGGCCUGAGAGGGCGACCGGCCACACUGGGACUGAGACACGGCCCAGACUCCUACGGGAGGCAGCAGUGGGGAAUAUUGCACAAUGGGCGAAAGCCUGAUGCAGCGACGCCGCGUGAGGGAUGACGGCCUUCGGGUUGUAAACCUCUUUCAGCAGGGAAGAAGCGAAAGUGACGGUACCUGCAGAAGAAGCGCCGGCUAACUACGUGCCAGCAGCCGCGGUAAUACGUAGGGCGCAAGCGUUGUCCGGAAUUAUUGGGCGUAAAGAGCUCGUAGGCGGCUUGUCACGUCGGGUGCGAAAGCCCGGGGCUUAACCCCGGGUCUGCAUUCGAUACGGGCUAGCUAGAGUGUGGUAGGGGAGAUCGGAAUUCCUGGUGUAGCGGUGAAAUGCGCAGAUAUCAGGAGGAACACCGGUGGCGAAGGCGGAUCUCUGGGCCAUUACUGACGCUGAGGAGCGAAAGCGUGGGGAGCGAACAGGAUUAGAUACCCUGGUAGUCCACGCCGUAAACGGUGGGAACUAGGUGUUGGCGACAUUCCACGUCGUCGGUGCCGCAGCUAACGCAUUAAGUUCCCCGCCUGGGGAGUACG